rnacentral:RNase_P_RNA from 1 species
CGAGUCGGCCGGGUGAUCGCGGCGCAAGUCGAGGAAAGUCCGGACUCCUCAGAGCAGGGUGGUGGGUAACGCCCACCCGGGGUGACCCGCGGGAAAGUGCCACAGAGAACAGACCGCCCCGCAAGGGGUAAGGGUGAAACGGCGGUGUAAGAGACCACCGCACUCCAGGUGACUGGAGUGGCUCGGUAAACCCCACCCGGAGCAAGACCAAGAAGGGCGCGAUCCUCGGAUCGGGCCUGCGGACGCCGUUAUCAGCGCUGCUCGCGCGAGGCGUCCGGGUAGGUCGCACGCCGGAAACGGCGAAGGCGGUUGGCAACAGCCGUCGCAGAUGGAUGAUCACCGCCCGGCAACGGGCACAGAAUCCGGCUUACAGGCCGGCUCGUCCC